GACCUGGUGGUGAAAAAUGCAUCACGCCCACUCCCAAUAGCUUUGCUCGCCGGACAUUUGUGGGAGUCCCUUGUUCGAAUCAAGGCUGGGUCC